rnacentral:tRNA from 1 species
CUCUCAAUAGCUCAGCUGGAAGAGCGCAAGACUGUAAAUCUUGAGGCCCGCGGUGUAAGUUACACAAUUGAGACCAUGCCACGACCUCGCCUAAUGUCCUCGCAGUCGAUCCCGCGUUGGGAGA